CAUUGAUUCACGCCAAACUUCCAAUACUACGAUUUUUAUUUGCUGUCUUGACCUUUUCUUUGAUGACUCCAGUCGGUGUUCUUAUUGGAGCUUUAGCAACGUCACUGGAUAGCAAACACUUGCUUACAGGCAUAUUCACAAGUAUUUCAGCUGCAACGUUUUUGUAUAUUUCUGUGAAUGGAAUGAUUGCACGAGCUUUUAUGAGGCAACAAGACUAUAUUGCAAAAGUGGCAUUUGGCUUGCUGGGUGUUAUAAUAGUUCUCAUAUCAGAGGUAGUUCAUCACUGAUACAUUUUGAUAAAUUUUUGGCGAUCGAUAAACUUAAAGGUCUUUUUUGGAAGGAAAAUUAUUAUCAGGUUACAACUCAAACUUUUUGAUACUUUACUGAAGAAA